ACACGCAUGACACACUGCAUAUCAAUAAGCGGAGGAAAAGAAACUAACAAGGAUUCCCCUAGUAACGGCGAGUGAAGCGGGAAGAGCUCAAAUUUGAAAUCUUAAAGGGUUUCCCUUUACGAAUUGUAGUUUAAAGAAGUGUUUUCUGUUGGAGUUUCGGUAAAAGUUCUUUGGAAUAGGACAUCAUAGAGGGUGAGAAUCCCGUAUUUGACGUACUUCUCCUAGCGUUGUGAUACACUUUCAACGAGUCGGAUUGUUUGGGAAUGCAGUCCAAAGUGGGUGGUAAAUUUCAUCUAAAGCUAAAUAUUGGCGAGAGACCGAUAGCGAACAAGUACCGUGAGGGAAAGAUGAAAAGAACUUUGAAAAGAGAGUUAAACAGUACGUGAAAUUGUCAAAAGGGAAGCGUUUGACACCAGUGUUGUUUAGUUGAAAAUCAAUUCAAUAAUUUUUGAUUUUGAGUAGUAUUGACUUCAUCAGCUUGCUGCUUUCUUUUCGGAAAUUAUUGAAUGCACUUUUCAGUUAACAAGUCAACAUCAAUUUCUUUUGUUGUAAAAGGGUAAGAGGAAGGUGGCUUACGCUUCGGCGUAAGUGUUUAUAGCCUUUUACCUCUGCAAUCGGAGAGAUUGAGGACAGCAGCGUAGACUCUUCGGGGUUAGAUACACUUGUGCUAAGCUAUAGCCUUGUAUAGACAACUUGUUGACUAUGCUCAGUCAUGUAGCUUACUCGCAUGUGCUAUUUUACCUACGCUUAGGAUGUUGACUGAUAUGUAGUCGUA
rnacentral:rRNA from 1 species